GACAGAGGGGGCUAGCGUUGUUCGGAAUUACUGGGCGUAAAGGGCGCGUAGGCGGCUUGGUAAGUUAGGAGUGAAAGCCUGGGGCUUAACCUCAGAAAUGCUCUUAAAACUGCCUCGCUGGAGUGCGGGAGAGGAUAGUGGAAUUCCUAGUGUAGAGGUGAAAUUCGUAGAUAUUAGGAGGAACACCAGUGGCGAAGGCGACUGUCUGGACCGCAACUGACGCUGAGGCGCGAAAGCGUGGGGAUCAAACAGG
rnacentral:rRNA from 1 species